rnacentral:lncRNA from 1 species
GAAAUGCUGCAGAGACCCAGCCGGAAACAGUGCUGGCCAGCUCACGCCUGACCCACCCUUAUUCUAAGCAUAGGGUCUGCCUCUGAAGAGCUAAAGACUUCCUGAAAUUUAAAAAUUAGUGCUUUUAUUUGCUUGUCCUGCUAAGACCGUAGGCAAAGGCCAUCCUCCUCCCAUUGACAGUUUAGAGUGGGCAGAAACAACCACGGUUACCCUAGAAGUAAAUCCAGAGCUGCGGGACGCUGGAGGACAAAACCAACCUUCCAGGGAAGCCGAGGAGAAGUCAUGCCUUCAAAAGGUGUCUGCCUUUUUUUUUUUCACCCUCUCUCCUCUAACCUGUUUGUAACUGGGAAAUGAAAUAGUUUUGGUUUGCAAGCUGUCGCCAGGGAGUGGAGCAAGACUUUGUAAUAAACAAGAGCAACUGCCAGAGCCCCCAGCGAGCCUCUCCAAGGCCAGACUGCCAAGAAAAGCUGGCAGUGUGACAGCAAGUUUCAUUCAGCGUGGCCGGUGGUCACUGAGGAGCGACCAUGAGGAGGAUGGCCAGAGGGGGUACCCCCCAGUCUCACCUUGGGGAAGAGUACAGCCUCCUAUUAGUGAGCUGUGUGGGCUAUUAAAAUUCCCCCAGGCUGAGUGUUUCAGGAAACACCAUAAAUAAAUAAAAUUGUCUGUGUGUGUGAAAAAAAAAAAA